UGUCAUUUAAGAACUGAAGUGGAGUUUUUCUUAUAUGUUACCGUUAUGAAACUGAUAUUUGAGAUUGUACUUCCAUAAAGAAAUAGAGAACCAUCUAGGUCGUUUAAUAAACAUUUAAUAUACGUUCUUGCUCCAGAGUUUGUUUUGGAAAUUAUGCGCAUGCGUAUAGUUUUCUUGACUUCAAGGGGUUUUAGAUUGAAUGGUUGCUCUGGAUUCUCCACUCAAUGAAUUAAUUUAUAACUCAUGGGAUCUUUUCUAUGUCUGCUUUUGAUGGUUAUUGUUGUUGCAUAAUUUUAAAUCAUAUGCAUUAUUUAAAUUAAAAUAAAUGUAGUUAGUCCUCAUCGUAGAACACCCCUUCAGGCGAAAUGGAGUCUUCCAUAUUAUCGUUUCUAGUUGUCUCCCUUCCGGAAGUAACUUCCGUGAAUUCUGAAACAAAACAACACGUCGAGUAUUAGCUCGUU
rnacentral:lncRNA from 1 species